GACGAACGCUGGCGGCGUGCUUAACACAUGCAAGUCGAACGAUGAAGCUGGAGCUUGCUCCAGUGGAUUAGUGGCGAACGGGUGAGUAACACGUGAGCAAUCUGCCCUUGACUCUGGGAUAACUGCGGGAAACUGUAGCUAAUACCGGAUACGACACCUUGGGGCAUCCCGAGGUGUGGAAAGAAUUUCGGUCAAGGAUGAGCUCGCGGCCUAUCAGCUUGUUGGUGAGGUAAAGGCUGACCAAGGCGACGACGGGUAGCCGGCCUGAGAGGGUGUCCGGCAACAAUGGAACUGAGACACGGUCCAGACUCCGACGGGAGGCAGCAGUAGGGAAUAUUGCACAAUGGGCGAAAGCCUGAUGCAGCAACGCCGCGUGAGUGAUGACGGCCUUCGGGUUGUAAACCUCUUUUAGCAGGGAAGAAGCGAAAGUGACGGUACCUGCAGAAAAAGCACCGGCUAACUACGUGCCAGCCGCCGCGGUAA
rnacentral:rRNA from 1 species